rnacentral:rRNA from 1 species
GCUUAGGUUUCUCGUCUUAGGAUCAUCUGGGGUCAUUCGUACUCGUCCGCGAGAGGUGAAAUUCUUGGACCGGACGAAGACGAUCAGCAGCGAAAGCAUCUGUCAGGGAUGUUUUCUGCGACAAAGGACGAAGGUCAGGGUAUCGAAGACGAUUAGAUACCGUCGUAGUCCUGACUGUAAACUAUGCCGACUUGGGUCUUGCAGAGUAAAUACUUUGUGAGACCCACACAGAAAUGAAAGUGUAUGGGUUCUGGGGGUAGUAUGGACACAAGUCUGAAACUUGAAGGAAUUGACGGAAGAGCACCAUAAGACGUGGAGCUUGCGGCUUAAUCUGACUCAACGCGGGAAAACUUACCAGGUCAAGACAUGGGCGUGAUUGACAGGCUAAUGACCUUUCUCGAUUCCUUGGAUGGUGGUGCAUGGUCGCACUUAGUUGGUGCAGUGAUUUGUCAGGUCUAUUCCGGUAACGAACGAGACCUCGGCCUUGUAAAUAGUUUUACUGCUUACAGGGACAAUGUCGGCUACGUCAAGGAAGUUCGAGGCAAUUGCAGAUCUGGAAUGCCCUUAGAUGUCCUGGGUCGCACGCGUGCUACAAUGACGCCACGAGCGAGUUCAUGUGUUGAAAGACAUGUGAAAUCAGC